UACGGAGGGUGCAAGCGUUGCUCGGAAUCACUGGGCGUAAAGCGUCCGCAGGCGGCUUGGUAAGUCGGGUGUGAAAGCCCGGGGCUCAACCCCGGAACUGCAUUCGAAACUGCCUCGCUUGAGUACGGGAGAGGGAAGCGGAAUUCCUGGUGUAGAGGUGAAAUUCGUAGAUAUCAGGAGGAACAUCGGUGGCGAAAGCGGCUUCCUGGCCCGAUACUGACGCUCAUGGACGAAAGCGUGGGGAGCAAACAGG
rnacentral:rRNA from 1 species